CUGCGGAAGGAUCAUUAUUGAUUGGUCGAAAGACCUUAUCAGAUUCUACCACCUCUGUGAACCGUUGACCUCCGGGUUAAUAAUCAAACAUCAGUGUAACGAACGUAAGAGUAUCUUAAUUAAACAAAACUUUUAACAACGGAUCUCUUGGCUCUCGCAUCGAUGAAGAACGCAGCGAAAUGCGAUAAGUAAUGUGAAUUGCAGAAUUCAGUGAAUCAUCGAAUCUUUGAACGCACCUUGCGCCUUUUGGUAUUCCGAAAGGCAUGCCUGUUUCAGUGUCAUGAAAUCUCAAUCUAAUAUGUUUUCUGAACAUGUUAGGCUUGGACUUGGGUGUCUGCCAGCAAUGGCUCACCUUAAAUGACUUAGUGGAACAUCCCACAUCAGUGUUAGACGUAAUAAGUUUCGUCUCUCCUUGUGGUGAUGACUGCUCAGAACCUGCCAUCGCGCAUCUUUUGACUUUGACCUGAAAUCAGGUAGGGCUACCCGCUGAACUUAAGCAUAUCAAUAA
rnacentral:rRNA from 1 species